rnacentral:rRNA from 1 species
GAUGAACGCUGACAGAAUGCUUAACACAUGCAAGUCAACUUGAAUCUGGGUUUUUAACUUAGGUUUGGGUGGCGGACGGGUGAGUAACGCGUAAAGAACUUGCCUCACAGCUAGGGACAACAUUUGGAAACGAAUGCUAAUACCUAAUAUUAUGAUAAUAGGGCAUCCUAUAAUUAUGAAAGCUAUAAGCGCUGUGAGAGAGCUUUGCGUCUCAUUAGCUAGUUGGAGAGGUAACGGAUCACCAAGGCGAUGAUGGGUAGCCGGCCUGAGAGGGUGAUCGGCCACAGGGGGACUGAGACACGGCCAUUACUCAUACGGGAGGCAGCAGUGGGGAAUAGAGGACGAUGGACCGAGAGUCUGAUCCAGCAAUUCUGUGUGCACGAUGAAGUUUUUCGGAAUGUAAAGUGCUUUCAGUUGAGAAGAAACAAAUGACGGUACCAACAGAAGAAGUGACGGCUAAAUACGUG